CCUACGGGUCGCAGCAGUGAGGAAUAUUGGUCAAUGGGCGAGAGCCUGAACCAGCCAAUUCGCGUGAAGGAUGACGGCCCUACGGGUUGUACACUUCUUUUGUCAGGGCGCAAUUGGUUCCACGCGUUGGCUUAGCGAGAGUACCUGAAGAAAAAGCAUCGGCUAACUCCGUGUCAGCAGCCGCGGUAAUACGGAGGAUGCGAGCGUUAUCCGGAUUUAUUGGGUUUAAAGGGUGCGUAGGCGGAAUAUCAAGUCAGCGGUAAAAAUUCGGGGCUCAACCCAGUCGUGCCGUUGAAACUGAUGUUAUUGAGUGGGCGAGAAGUAUGCGGAAUGCGUGGUGUAGCGGUGAAAUGCAUAGAUAUCACGCAGAACUCCGAUUGCGAAGGCAGCAUACCGGCGCCCAACUGACGCUGAAGCACGAAAGCGUGGGUAUCGAACAGGAUUAGAUACCCCAGUAGUC
rnacentral:rRNA from 1 species